UACCGUGGAAGGAACUGAGAGCCCACGGAAUCCAGGACCCUGCUGGCCAUGAGACCCUAUUUCCAAAUCCAAAGUCACAUUGUGAAAUUCCAGAAGAAAUUUUGGAAGUACAGUAACACUAACCAACUCAGCACAGCUGUCAAAGUUCUUAAGAAGUUGACAAAGGAAGAGCUGAAAAUGAAGAGUUUGAAAUGAGACAGUUUUGCAGACAUUUGGGCAAUUCCCUUGAAAGAUAGAAACAAGAGUCAUUCUGGAAAUCGCCAGUCAGUCCUAUCAUUUUCCUGUUCCAAACUGCCCAUUAACUUUCGGCGCACAGUAAAAUCCUGGCUCAGCAGUGGCAGCAUGUGCUGUUAAGAGACUAUGCUGUCUUGGCUUUUUAUUCUGCAAAUCCCUGCCUUCUUCACUAAUCAAAAGAGCUGCCAGGAGGAGCGAAGGCUGAUGUCAGAGCGGCCCGGGCAGUGAUGCUCAGAACAGCCCCAGGACUUCCUGCUUGGGCCCUUUAUCUGCCGGAGGGAGGGACAGCCUGUUCUCCCUGCGGGAGC